CAACAUUAUUCUUCAUAUAGCAACCAACACAAUACAAUACACAACACAUGUAUAAACAAUGAAACAUACUAAUACAUUCAAGUGAUCUUACAACUUUGCACUCCAAAAUCUACAUCUGGUAGUUCCCCAUCAGAAACAAGCACAACUCAAUCUUGAUGAAUACCUCAAGGAAGGUCCAGAACAGCCUACGAUUCGAACUGCUUACCUUGAAAAGUCUGUCCAAAAUUCCAGAUCUUCGGAGCAACAUUGUAAGAUGUUAAGGUGACUCCAUCACUGCUUGUUAUCUCGAAAGAAAGUGGUUGAUUCUUCAAAUCCGCACUUAUAUGCCAGUUUUGGCCCCAAAUCCUACCCAUGGGAAGCCAUCCUGUUCUUGAACCCUUAACUUUUGCUGCCACUAUAUCACCCGCGCCUGCAACGUUACUGAUUAAAACAGACAAGAAUAUUCCAGCACCAUUGAUCGUGAAUCGAACUCCUCCUUCCUUUCUGCACUUAAUUCUUCGAUACUGAACAGGCAUAUUCGAAGCUUUCCAAAUAGCAAUUUUCUCAAAAGCUUCAAUCGGCAGAACAAAAUGUGCAUUUGGAGGGUUACAAUGUCCACCGCCAUCAGGUUCAAAUCCAUAAUUCGGAGCACAAAAAUUCGUUGCAGUAACAAUAAUCGAAGUACCCGGAAUACACCAUCGGAGUUCCUCAACACAUCGAACUUCAAAGCAAGCUCCGCAAAUCUGACCCUUUUCGAAUAGCACAGUGCUUAAUCCAGCUGUUGAUUUACCAUAACCACUUCUCUCUAAAUCACCGUACCCACACGCGCCACCUACUACAUCCCGUGGAUCUGCUGGAGCAUAGUAGGUUGCCCGUCCCGGGCGCCACUCCGAUGGGUGAGCGGCGGCGGCGGCGACGGUGGAGGAGGAAGACGGUGACCAAUUGUAGUGGGAGUGAGCUAGUGAGAAUGUGCUACACAGUGUGAGUGUUAGUAAUAAUUGUAGCAACAUUUUCGAUAGUACUGAGAAUUUUG
rnacentral:misc_RNA from 1 species